rnacentral:lncRNA from 1 species
AGACACUGAAGCUACUGAAUCUGAAACCAUUUUCCAGAAAAACAUUGUUCCUACUUCCGAGGAGUCUGUCCCAGAAGAAAAUGCUACAGCAAAAGAACCUGCUUUUGAUGACAGAGAAAUACAAAAUGAUGGAGCAGAAUUAACAAAGGAACAUGAUGGUGUGAAGGACGAAGAAAUACCUGAUCAAAGCAGUGGGGCUAUUGUUGAGGAGACAGCUCAAGAAGCCAAUUUACUAGCAAGUGAGCCAACUGAUGAUGUGCAAGUAAAGGAGCUUGAACCAGAAGAAAUAAGUAACACUGUGGAUGGUGAAACAGAAGAAGCUUCCUGUCAAACACACGAGGUAGAGAUGACAGAAUCAUCAGAACAGAUGAAGGACACUGAACCUCCUGUACCUGAACCAGAAUCAUCAGAAGAGAUGAGGGACACUGCACCAACUGUACCUGAACCAACACUCCAAGAUAGCAGAGUUGCUAGUGUAGAGGAAAUAGAAACACACAAUAAUGCAACAAUUGAACAAAAUGUUGGUUACCAGCAACUUCAGGAACAAGAAUCAGUUGAAUUCAAGGAAACUGAAGUUCUUGAACCUCAAGGAGUCAUCCCCUCUCAUAAUGUUUCUAGCUCUGAGG